AUAGGUUAUUCAAUGGUUCGUACAUUUGGAGUCAGACAUAUCACAAGCGUCUCCUUAUCCUUGACAGGAUUCUUUACAGCGUGUUGUAAUUUUUCAUGACAUGGGAAAGGUGGGAAAUGCCUUGUUCCUGUGGGUCUAGGAGACGAUGAUCAAUGCAUUGAGGAGGGAGCUUCACACUCUUCUGAUCGUUCUUGCAUUCAUCUGGAAUUUGACAUAUCUGGAACAAGACUUGUGCAAGUUUCCUUUGGAUUUUAUUUGAUGCAACUUCAGAGACAAUGAUUAUUAUAGCCUUUUCUUUCGAAUUAUAAGAUUUCUUAUUGCUCUUGAUGAGUCGUGACAAUAGUUUUGCUUACUAAUAAACUUUUAAAUGGAAUGGGUCAUAGGUUUUUCAGCUA